rnacentral:misc_RNA from 1 species
GAUGAAGAACGUAGCGAAAUGCGAUAAGUAAUGUGAAUUGCAGAAUUCAGUGAAUCAUCGAAUCUUUGAACGCACAUUGCGCCCGCCAGUAUUCUGGCGGGCAUGCCUGUUCGAGCGUCAUUUCAACCCUCAGGCCCCCAGUGCCUGGUGUUGGGGAUCGGCCCAGCCUUCCUGUAAGGCCGCCGGCCCCGAAAUCUAGUGGCGGUCUCGCUGUAGUCCUCCUCUGCGUAGUAGCAACACUCGCAUGCGGAGCGCGGCGCGGCCACGCCGUAAAACCCCCGACUUUCUGAACGUUGACCUCGGAUCAGGUAGGAAUACCCGCUGAACUUAAGCAUAUCAAUAAGCGGAGGA